rnacentral:misc_RNA from 1 species
GAUGAAGAACGCAGCGAAAUGCGAUAAGUAAUGUGAAUUGCAGAACUCAGUGAAUCAUCGAGUCUUUGAACGCACAUUGCGCCCUCUGGUAUUCCGGAGGGCAUGCCUGUCCGAGCGUCAUUGCUGCCCUCAAGCACGGCUUGUGUGUUGGGCUCCGUCCCCCGAUCCCGGGGGACGGGCCCGAAAGGCAGCGGCGGCACCGCGUCCGGUCCUCGAGCGUAUGGGGCCUUGUCACCCGCUCUGUAGGCCCGGCCGGCGCUUGCCGAUCAACCAAAUUUUUAUCCAGGUUGACCUCGGAUCAGGUAGGGAUACCCGCUGAACUUAAGCAUAUCAAUAAGCGGAGGA